GACGAACGCUGGCGGCGUGCUUAACACAUGCAAGUCGAACGGAAAGGCCCUGCUUUUGUGGGGUGCUCGAGUGGCGAACGGGUGAGUAACACGUGAGUAACCUGCCCUUGACUUUGGGAUAACUUCAGGAAACUGGGGCUAAUACCGGAUAGGAGCUCCUGCUGCAUGGUGGGGGUUGGAAAGUUUCGGCGGUUGGGGAUGGACUCGCGGCUUAUCAGCUUGCUGGUGGGGUAGUGGCUUACCAAGGCUUUGACGGGUAGCCGGCCUGGGAGGGUGACCGGCCACAUUGGGACUGAGAUACGGCCCAGACUCCUACGGGAGGCAGCAGUGGGGAAUAUUGCAAAAUGGGCGGAAGCCUGAUGCAGCAACGCCGCGUGCGGGAUGACGGCCUUCGGGUUGUAAACCGCUUUCGCCUGUGACGAAGCGUGAGUGACGGUAAUGGGUAAAGAAGCACCGGCUAACUACGUG
rnacentral:rRNA from 1 species